CAGUUCGGACUGCAGGCUGCAACUCGCCUGCACGAAGCCGGAGUUGCUAGUAAUCGCGGAUCAGAAUGCCGCGGUGAAUGCGUUCCCGGGUCUUGUACACACCGCCCGUCACACCAUGGAAGUUGGGGGUGCCCAAAGCCGGCAGGGAAAUAUGCUGUCUAAGGCAAAACCAAUGACUGGGGUGAAGUCGUAACAAGGUAAC
rnacentral:rRNA from 1 species